UUUCGCAAUGCCCGAAAGGGUGACGAAGCGACGCCGCGUGUGGGAAGAAGGCCUUCGGGUUGUAAACCACUGUCGGGAGUUAAGAAGUGUAGUGGGGCGAAUAGCGCCACUACUUGACUAAGGCUCCAGAGGAAGCCACGGCUAACUCUGUGCCAGCAGCCGCGGUAAUACAGAGGUGGCAAGCGUUGUUCGGAAUUAUUGGGCGUAAAGAGCACGUAGGCGGCUAUGUAAGUCGGUUGUGAAAGCCUUCCGCUCAACGGGAGAACAGCAUCCGAUACUGCAUGGCUUGAGUGCGGGAGGGGAGAGUGGAACUUCUGGUGGAGCGGUGAAAUGCGUAGAUAUCAGAAGGAACGCCGGCGGCGAAAGCGGCUCUCUGGCCCAUAACUGACGCUGAGUGUGCGAAAGCUAGGGGAGCAAACGGGAUUAGAUACCCCGGUAGUCCUAGCCGUAAACGAUGGGCACUAAGUAGAGGGGUUUUA
rnacentral:rRNA from 1 species